GACAGAGGGUGCAAACGUUGUUCGGAAUUACUGGGCGUAAAGCGAGUGUAGGCGGUCUGAAAAAGUCGGGUGUGAAAGCCCUGGGCUCAACCCAGGAAGUGCACUCGAAACUGCCAGGCUAGAGUAUCGGAGAGGUUGGUGGAAUUCUCGGUGUAGAGGUGAAAAUUCGUAGAUAUCGAGAGGAACACCGGUGGCGAAAGGCGGCCAACUGGACGAAUACUGACGCUGAGACUCGAAAGCGUGGGGAGCAACGGGA
rnacentral:rRNA from 1 species